CUAUGCGACAAAAGUAAACAAACUGAGUUAUUUAUUGCAUUACAUUCUGCAAGCUGGAAACUACACUCACCGCUGACCCAAUUUCUUCAAAGCCUUUUAUUUUUAAAGUUAUUGAUAAAAUACAAAACAACCUAAAAGCAUUCUUAAUAAAUUCUACACCAAAUAAAUAUAGGUCGUUUUACCACACGGAAGUCCUAUGUGCAAUCGAGUGAAACGUGCACAUAGAACCGUAUCAAAUCAACCUAUGGACCAUUAAUAUAUUUUUUUAAAGCUGAUGCACAUACGCUCAUAUCAAAAUGACCUAUGUACAUGUUUAUUGAGUUUAUUUGAAAAUAUGUAUGAGUCGUUUUUUAAUGAAAUUCUAAAACAUAAAUAUUUUACAAUCUUCAUGUUUGUACAAUCCACGCACAACGUGUAGUCAUCAGCUGGGAGAGAGCAUGAAAUGUUUCAAUGCUGUCAAAGCAAAAGAGAGAAGUUCAAUUCAACCUAUCUGCACUCUCUCGAAUUUGACAGAUACGCCACCCAAAAACUUGGGAGCAUAACACCAACAAGGCAGCAUAAAAAAUCAUAACAUUUGUGCAUAUAGGUCGUUUUGUACGGUUUAGUUUUUCUGUUGUAUUUAAAGGCGAUUUUUCAUUGAUGGAGAAGUGUCGAGGUGUGCUCCACCGGUGGUUUUUAAAACGCCUCAUUAUGUCCGGCACGGAACCGUAGCCUAGAACAAGAUACUUAUCCGGAAGUUGCCGUCUCCAGCUGUUGGUCGCGGGUGCUGUACAGGUGCGAAAUUUCACUGCACUCAGCAGUGUUGCUGGCGGAGUUUAGUGACAUCAUUCAUCAGUUUGGACUACGUGUGUUUUGCGUCCGCUGUCAGACCGACUUUCUUUCUCGAUGUUACGCUGAUCGCACCGCUAGUGCACAUUCCGAACGAAAUUUCCGCCUUGCACGGUGGCCGAUUCGGAUCAA